AGAGUUUGAUCCUGGCUCAGCCUGAACGCUGUCGGCGUGAUUAAGACAUGCAAGUCGCACGGUGUAGCAAUACACAGUGGCGGACGGGUGAGUAAUGUAUUGUUAACGUACCCCGGACUCUGGGACAGCCGCCCGAAAGGGCGGGUAAUACCAGAUGAGACCACGAGAGGGCAUCCUUUUGUGCUCAAAGGUUCGCCGGUCUGGGAUCGGACAAUAUGGUAUCAGGUAGUUGGUGAGGUAACGGCUCACCAAGCCUUCGACGCCUAGCCGGACUGAGAGGUCGGCCGGCCACAUCGGGACUGAGACACUGCCCGGACUCCUACGGGGGGCUGCAGUAAUGAAUCUUCCACAAUGCACGAAAGUGUGAUGGAGCGACGCCGAGUGAAGGUUAAGUCCUUCGGGAUGUAAACUUCUAAAACCUGUUAGAAAGUUCUGAUCAGCAGGCUAUAAGUGGCGACUAACUCUGUGCCAGCAGUCGCGGUAAUACAGAGGCCACGAGCGUUAGGCGGAAUCACUGGGCUUAAAGCGCGUGUAGGCGGAUGCCUAAGUACCUUGUGAAAUCCCACGGCUCAACCGUGGAAAUGCUUGGUAUACUGGGUGUCUUGAGGUGCUCAGGGGCGAGCGGAACAGACGGUGGAGCGGUGAAAUGCGUAGAUAUCGUCUGGAACGCCAAUGGUGAAGACAGCUCGCUGGGAGCAUUCUGACGCUGAGACGCGAAAGCCAGGGGAUCAAACGGGAUUAGAUACCCCAGUAGUCC
rnacentral:rRNA from 1 species